rnacentral:rRNA from 1 species
GUGCUUGGGCGAGAGUAGUACUAGGAUGGAUGACACCCUGGGAAGUCCUCGUGUUGCACCC